ensembl:lncRNA
AGGUGUAUUAGGACUAAAUUAUGUUGUGUAUUCGGACUAGAUGAUGAGGUGUAUUAGGACUAGAUGAUGAGGUGUAUUAGGACGAGAAGAUGAGGUGUAUUAGGACUACAUGAUGAGGUGUAUUAGGACUACAUGAUGUUGUGUAUUAUGACUACAUGAUGAGGUGUAUUAGGACUACAUGAUGAGGUGUAUUAGGACUACAUGAUGAGGUGUAUUAGGACUACAUGAUGAGGUGUAUUAGGACUACAUGAUGAGGUGUAUUAGGAUUAAU